UACGUAGGGUGCAAGCGUUGUCCGGAAUCAUUGGGCGUAAAGCGCGCGUAGGCGGCCCGAUAAGUCCGCUGUAAAAGUCAACGGCUCAACUGUUGAAAGCCGGUGAUACUGUCGGGCUAGAGUACGGAAGAGGCAAGUGGAAUUCCUGGUGUAGCGGUGGAAUGACGCAGAUAUCAGGAGGAACACCUAUAGCGAAGGCAGCUUGCUGGGACGUUACUGACGCUAAGGCGCGAAAGCGAUGGGAGC
rnacentral:rRNA from 1 species